GGGGGGAGGUGGGCAGGGGGUGGAUGGAUAAACCUUCUUAAGUGCCCACUCACACCCAGCCCUCCACCCGUCUGACGGAAUACAUUAAGCAGCUGUGGGGCUCAUUUACAUAAUAACCACCCCCUGCUUCAGGUUUUUCCCCCCAUGACAUGAUCAGCUAGACUGGGUGAAGAUCCAGAGCCAUUAUAAAGCAACGGCCGGACUACACUGUCUGGAACACUGUCAUACGAAGGCAGUUUAGUGCAACGACCCCCACGUCUCCCUCGAAUGUGACACCCCUGCAGUAUCAAGUCAAAGCCAAAAGCAGAAAGGACAUCUGCCCCCAAGCUGCCCCCACAAGUGGCUUGACAAUCACCGUACGAUGAAGUGAGACGUCAUGUCAGUGUUUGACCGCCCUUGCUCAGUGCAACGACUCCACGCUGCGAAUAUUUACCUUGUCACCCGCAUUCCACCCGCUCCAGGUGAAUCAUCGGUGACGCUCCAUCCUUUUUGUUCUCCCUUCCUUUUAUCCUCGCUUGUAUGUUCACCGACGCAGGAGCAGCCAUGAAAAGAAAAUCUCCUCUUAGGAGAUGACAUGAAUGACAUGUAAGAAAUAUAUAUAUUUUUUACAAAUCUUGGUUGUUGUUUUUGUGUGAUUGUCAUUUAGCUUGCCAAUAAUUAAUUAAAUUUGACACUG